UCUCACCCUGGCCAGGGAUGGCACACUCCUGGCUACAUACACAGACCCAGCACUAGGUAGCCCAUGGGGUCUACAUGUGACCCCUGCAGGCCAGGUGCUGGUCUGUGGAUACCUGCCCUACACUGUACUACAGGUGGACUGGGAGGGGCAGAGUAAGCUGGCUAAUCUUGCUACUGAGGAGGAUGGAGUGUCGAGGCCACGGUCAGUCUGCUUCAGCAGCACCACAUCAUCCAUCAUUGUGGGACAGGAAUGGAGUGACAACAUCCUGGUGUUCAGAGUGGAAUAGUGUGUACAUUCGCUUCUGAGUCAGGACAAGGUUGCUGAGGAUGUGGUGGACAAGAAUGACCUGAAUACACAGAAGGUGCUUGACCAAAUACAAGAGGCCGUCCCAUCAAUCAGUCGUCGAAGUCAGUUGAGAUGGACCAGAACAAGGCAGAAACUCAGCAACAUUUUACGCACUCAACUGCUCAGCACAGAAGACUACUGUCUGGUAAAAGGAUCGGCUGUAUCAAAGUCCUGUGAUAUGGGGGGACUUGGUCGUUCCAUGUGUGGGGAUUGCAUCAUGAAGGACAUUUUAGAUGACACUCACAAGGUGAGCAGGAGCAUUGUUAUUGAGUUGACAUGGCAAAGGCACCAGUCGGACCCCCAGGAGCCUCAGUCCAGAACAACCCUUCCCCUCCCCUGAUCCCUAGCUCCUCCCCUUUGACCUCCUGCUUCAAAGCUUCAUUGAACAAUACCGGUCUGCUGGAAUAUCUGAGCAUGCUGAGUUUUAACAAGCUGUUCUCAACAACUGCACUGUCCUUGUUGAUCGAUCCACACUCCUGCCUAAGUAGUUUGUUAAGCUCCAGUGCCGGAGGUGGGUCAAGUAUUUCAGACACGCAGAGUUAUAGCAGUAGUUAUGGUAACACAAACAGGCACUGAUUGUGGACUUCACAACAAAUAGUACGAAGAAUAAAAAGUUGGAUAACUUUUCCCAUGCUUUGUUGGACUAACAGAGCAACAUGGAAUAAUGGUAGAAAAUCUAGAAACAGUUAAAGAGUUAAAGAUCGAAGCAUAAGCUAUCCACGGGGUCUACUUCUGAUUUCAAUAGUAGUAGCAUUAUGGACCAUCCUGGUUUGUCCUCUUAUGCAUCCAAAAUGUUCAAAGUGAACGUGCGUUUUACGCAGUUGCUGACAAAAAAACUUUGUAUGAACACUCAUAGCACGAUGAAUACAUCGGGUGUGGUUCAGACGCAAAGUCUUCCCAACAACAUUAACACUAUGCUUAAGGUGUAGCCAUCAUGGUUUGUUACGAGCACUUCACACUCCAAGACAAAACAGCCUCGCAUUGAGCUGACACUAGAUAAAGCGUUGAAAAAUGACAGCAGUUUUGUUGUGUGGUCCAGUAUGCCUUUUGACUCCAACCCAACAUGAGGUAGAACUCAAACUCAGCCCUUAGCAAUCACAGCGAGGCCAGCAUGUCAUUUCACCUUCUUGAGCCUCAGCAAAUAUUAUUAGCCAACAAUACAAACAUCGUUAAAGUAAAUGUCGAUGGAAAUCGGCGGCAACCCCUUCUUUAACAAAUACUACAACUCGCUCAAGAAAUUAAGUACGAAGACGUAUUGCAGCAGCCUAGCACACCACAUCUUCUCCAAUGUUGGCUACAUCAACACUUCGAACAGCAGAGCCUUGAAGAGCACCAUCAUCGAUAUUGAUUUGGCGCAGCAACAGCACCAGUCCAGCCCGCAUGAGCCUCAGUCAAGGACGAACCUUCCCCUCCACCUGACCCUAGCAGCCUCAGUCCACGACGACCCUUCCACUCGACCUGACCCUAGCGCCUCCACCUUGACCUACGGCCUCAAAAGAUUACAUUAUUAUCCAAGAAGAAGAACAUUGUUGAAGUAAAUGUUGAAAACAGUCCAAACCCCCUUCUCACACAAAUACUACAAGUCGCUCGAGACAUUCAGCACGCCACCUAUGAACAUCUCGCACAAAAACAACAAGUCGUUCAAGAAAUUCAGCACGCCACCUAUGAACAUCUGCCACAAAUACUACAAGUCGCUCAAGAUUCAGCACGCCACCUAUGAACAUCUCCUACAAAUACUACAAGUCGCUCAAGAAAUUCAGCACGCCACCUAUGAACAUCUCCCACAAAUAAUACAAGUCGUUCAAGAAAUUCAGCACGCCACCUAUGAACAUCUCCAACAAAUACUACAAGUCGCUCAAGAAAUUCAGCACGCCACCUAUGAACAUCUCCCACAAAUACUACAAGUCGUUCAAGAAUUUCAGCACGCCACCUAUGAACAUCUCCCACAAAUACUACAAGUUGCUCAAGAAAUUCAGCACUCCACGUAUGAACAUCUCGCACAAAUACUACAAGUUGUUUAAAAAUUUGGCAGGCCACGUAUGAACAUCUCCCAGAAAUACUACAAGUCGCUCAAGAUUCAGCACGCCACCUAUGAACAUCUCGCACAAAUACUACAAGUCGCUCAAGAAAUUCAGCAUGCCACCUAUGAACAUCUCCCACAAAUACUACAAGUCGCUCAAGAAAUUCAGCACGCCACCUAUAAACAUCUCCCACAAAUACUACAAUAGGCUCAAGAAAUUCAGCAUGCCACCUAUGAACAUCUUCCAAUACUACAAGUCGCUCAAGAAAUUCAGCAUGCCACCUAUGACCAUCUCGCACAAAUACUACAUGUCGGUCAAGAAAUUCUGCACGCCAUCUAUGAACAUCUCGCACAAAUACUACAAGUCGCUCAAGAAAUUUAGCAAGCCACCUAUGAAAAUCUCCCACAAAUACCACAAGUCGUUCAAGAAAUUCAGCACGCCAGGUAUGAACAUCUCCCACAAAUACUACAAGUCGUUUAAGAAAUUCAGCACGCCACCUAUGAACAUCUCACAAAUACUACAAGUCACUCAAGAAAUUCAGCACGCCACCUAUGAACAUCUCCCACAAAUAAUACAAGUUGUUCAAGACAUUCAGCACGCCACGUAUGAUCAUCCCCUUGAAAUACUACAAGUCUUCAACAAAUUCAGCACGUCACCUAUGAACAUCUCCCACAAAUACUAUAAGUCGCUCAAGAAAAUCAGCACUCCAGGUAUUAACAUCUUACACAAAUACUACAAGUCGCUCAAGCAAUUCAGCGUGUCACCUAUGAACAUCUUGCAUGGUGGCUUGGUGAGUCUGACUUCUGUCUUGACAAGUCACUCAAGAUAAAAUAAUCGGAUCUAACAGACAGAGCAGGUGCUGAGUGACUCGUCUGUUAACUUGACUGACCUCGAUACGUUGCUCUCGAAUAAUGAGAACCUGACGCACGAGGAACAGUGCUGUCCAACAUUCCCAGUUUUUGGUUGGCGACUUCACUGUCGGGACUCACACAAUCUCUGCCUAUAAGCAACAAAAACAGGUUUUCAGUAUACAGAUAUGCAACUGGAGUGAUGAUAUGCCCUGAAGAUAUUUAUUAAUUAUACCCCCUGUUAAUUGGGGUAUAAUGGAAUCCCCUUGGACGGACAUCUAUCUGUCUGUCUUUCCAUCUGUCUGUGGGCGUUCACUUAACGAUUCAACGUUCAGCUUUCAAACUUUCAGGACCCCAUACAAUCACAGUUUGGUACUCAGCUGAAUUACAGGCUCUCUGGUGAGCUGGAGCUGGACGCCCAAGGACAAUCCCCGAGUAUAGGUGUCGAGCUCUUGGGCCAGGAAUUCGGGGCAAAGCUCAACGAGUCCUACCCCCAGGGUACAGCCACUCUAACCUUGGGGCUCCACACUUUCCUGCUCAGGGGCAAAGAUUAUCUCAUCUACAAGGGUCCUUAUCCUCACAAGUUCAGGCCCAGGAAACCAUGCUUCUCAACUGCACCCAGCCACUACAUCUCAACAAUAUCUGUCAGUUGGAGGGAGAAAGAUCGAGAUGUUUAAAUAGCAGAACAUGCACACAUUGCUGCUUCAGCCUCAAUAUGAAAUGCAGCGGCAGCAGCAGAAGCAACAGCGCUCACAAUUCAACAAUAAACAGUUCCAUUGACGAGCGCUUUUAAAUGACAACAUGUCAAUGAACCAGGCACCUUUUUCUGAAAACCUCGCCGAGCUAAUGAACAGUGCAACUGCGCCAUAUGUGACCCUUCAGAGAAUGGAAUUCCUAGCCAAAUAUCUAAUCGGUGCCAAUCUGGGCUCCAGCAGCAGCCUCAGCCAUGGGGGACAGGUUUAUGAAGCAAUCUGGGCUCCAGGAGCAGCCUCAGCAGUGGGGGACAGGUUUAUGAAGCAAUCUGGGCUCCAGGAGCAGCCUCGGCCAUGGGGGACAGGUUUAUGAAGCAAUCUGGGCUCCAGCAGCAGCCUCAGCCAUGGGGGACAGGUUUAUGAAGCAAUCUGGGCUCCAGGAGCAGCCUCAGCCGUGGGGGACAGGUUUAUGAAGCAAUCUGGGCUCCAGCAGCAGCCUCAGCCAUGGGGGACAAGUUUAUGAAGCAGGGCUCUAGCAGCAGCCUCAGCCGUGGGGGACACCCUGAACUUCUCAAUCUCACAGCAACAGUAGAUCAACAUGACCUCCAGCAGCAGCCUCAGCCGUGGGGGACAGGUUAAUGAAGCAGGGCUCUAGCAGCAGCCUCAGCCAUGGGGGACAGGUUUAUGAAGCAGGGCUCUAGCAGCAGCCUCAGCCAUGGGGGACAGGUUUAUGAAGCUUCCUGAACUUCUCAAUCUCACAGCAACAGUAGAUCAACAUGACCUGAAAGGUGGGGAUAAGAACUUCUCAAUCUCACAGCAACAGUAGAUCAACAUGACCUCUAGCAGCAGCCUCAGCCAUGGGGGACAGGUUUAUGAAGCAGGGCUCUAGCAGCAGCCUCAGCCGUGGGGGACAGGUUUAUGAAGCACCCUGAACUUCUCAAUCUCACAGCAACAGUAGAUCAACAUGACCUCUAGCAGCAGCCUCAGCCGUGGGGGACAGGUUUAUGAAGCAGGGCUCCAGCAGCAGCCUCUUCCAUGGGGGACAGGUUUAUGAAGCACCCUGAUCUUCUCAAUCUCACAGCAACAGUAGAUCAACAUGACCUCCAGCAGCAGCCUCAGCCAUGGGGGAUAGGUUUAUGAAGCAAUCUGAACUUCUCAAUCUCACAUCAACAGUAGAUCAACAUGACCUCUAGCAGCAGCCUCAGCCGUGGGGGACAGGUUUAUGAAGCAGGGCUCCAGCAGCAGCCUCAGCCGUGGGGGACAGGUUUAUGAAGCAGGGCUCCAGCAGCAACCUCAGCCAUGGGGGACAGGUUUAUGAAGCACCCUGAUCUCACAGCAACAGUAGAUCAACAUGACCUGAAAGCGGUUUGUGUUCAGUGUCUAACAGUAGUCUAAUGACCAAGCCACGUCAGCAAAGCAGCAAUAACAGCAGUCAAGUCGAGGAUCACCCAAAACCACUUGGUGCCUAGGGAUGAUUUUUCUGCUACCAACUUGACCUGAUUAUUGUACUCACGUGGGAGUCAGGUUUAAGGUCACAUAAGGUUUAAAGGCUUAAAUCAGCAUAUAUGGUCAUGGUAGUAAGAAAAUUUAAGAUCAUAAAGGGACUUGUUGAUCAACUUGAUGACCAAGUUAUUUAAUAUUGUUCCAAAUGUAUCUUUAAACGAAAUGACUGCAAUACAGAGCAUCAUAAGAAAGUCUACAUACUUUCCCCUUUAAAUGUGUAAAAUUAACAAUAAACUAAAUGACUACAAAACAGGCAUUUACAAGAACAUCUUUGAACAUUUUCCUUUAAGUAUUGCUCAAUCUUUCUCAGUGAACAAAAUGUAUGCAGAAAGAAAAACUUUGUCUCUAUAAAGAUUGCUUACUAUGUUUUUACUGCAAACGGAUUUAUUACAGAACAGGAAUGUAUCUUUUAACAUUAUCGUUGAAAUUUCUCAACCAUUUGCAGUUAACAAAAUGACUGCACAAUAUGGCAUCAAUGGCAAAGAAGAAGUGAUCAGAGGGGGUUAUAACGUGAAAGUCAAGAAGGCGACGUCCAUUAUGAGACUGAAAACCCUGAUUGCAAAAUGCAGAGUCUGCUCCGUGCGCAUUUGCAGACACAGAAUAUGAACCCGCUGCAGUCAUCGUCUUCAGAUUAUAUCAUCUCUAUGGUGCAGGACCCUCAGUCUGUGUACACAGGGAACCUUCGACGCCAAUGACGAAAUCAAACCAUACAAUCAGAAACACAUCCUGUUGCAGCAGUUAUUACCAUAUUGACCCCAGUCAAACAAAAGAAGCUCAGAGAUAAAUACUGUUUAUGGUGUUCUAGUCUCUACAUACCUUGUGGUAUGUUGAGCACGUACUCUGACAGGUUCUAUCUUAUAAUUGUUUGACUGGUGGAAAAUAAAUGACCUUGUUCAAGUCGAAAUGUCAGAAUAGCAAUUCAUAAUUCAAAUGCCAAAAAGUCAUAUCAACAGCCACAUUUGUUAUGUGACCAGCAAAGUUGUUUUCAAAGAGACACAAUAGUCUACUUUAUAUUUUCUUGUGACCAACCAAGUUGUAUUUAAUGAAAAACAAUAGUUUAUGUUUUAUGGGAAUUAUGAUGCUGUUAGUCAUGUUAUGUUGGACGUUUUAGUUAAAUAUAGUAUGUUACAAACUGUAUUAUUUGAAGCACACAUAUUGCAGGUAUAUCCAAUGUCUGUGUCUGUAUUAUGAACCUUUCACUUCAGAUUUUGAUCCGGAUAUGGUAAAUUUAAGGGAAAUACAAUCAUAACAAAGUUAUUUUAAGAUUGUCAAAGCUGUUUAAAAGUUUAUGGUAACUUGGACACAAUUGAAAAUAUAUUGGCAUAUUGUCCAUGUUUCAGUUUUCUGUUUUACCAGUAAUAUAGAUGUGCUCAUUAAAAUAAUUCCCCAAAGAGGUUGAGAGUUAUGACACUUCAGCUUUUCUGUAUAUCAAUCUUUCUGAACACAAUACUUGUCAAUUUGCUCAUUCGGGUCGGUAUUUGAUCCAAAAUCUUGUUAAGUAGCAUACUAUUUCAAGGGAAUAUAAAUUAAUUCUGGGAAAAAGUGUUUAAUCUACUUAAAUUUAUUGAUUCUUUGUUACCACCAGUACUUUGUUGAUUUCAAUUGCUAUGGUUUGCUAAAUAAUUAAAGCAUGACUGUUGUUUUAUUUGGAAAGCUUUUAAUAAAACUCAGAAUUAAAAACAAUAUUUAAAAAAAAAGAUGAGUUUUAUGAAAAAUGGCACAUUUUAUGUUUGUUAAUUUGUGUAGUAAGAUCAUACACUUACAUGCUCAUAAGUGUUAACAUUCGAUUUUGGAUGUUAAAGUUUAUAAUGCUUUAUAUAUGCAUAUGUAGAUUUACACAACCAAAUUGUACCUUCUUAAAUCAGUGAGUAAUUUAACCCAGAUUUCUUGAUAACUGUUUAUAGGUAUAUUUUGCCAUUUAUACAUAGAGCAACUGCAAAGCGAUUGUAUUUUCGAUGUAAAUCAUACAUUUAGUGUUGCCAUUGUUUAAGAUAAACUCACUGUUUACAUUUAUUUGUACACACUAUUGUUAUAAAACAACAUUGCUUGUGUAAAUGCACAUAUAUGUAUAAAAACUGUUUAAUAAUGCAGCAUUAAAUAUUCUGAAGAGAAAAGGAUAUUUACGGCAAUAGAAACACCUUGUUAUAUGCUAUGCUUUUCAUGGAAUGAAUACCUUGAAAUUAGAAAUGAGUCAAUUACAAAAUAAGGGAGAGUGAUGUCAUAUGUUAACAAUUGUCAGGCAUAGCAAUUGCCUCUAUUGGUAAUAUAACAGAGCAAUAUUAUUUGCUUAAACAAUACAAAUUAAGAUGUCUUUUUUUGUUAGAUAAUAAUUGUGUUUACAACUUGAUAUAACGAGUAAAUACAUACAGAAUUUCAAAUUAUUUCGCAAUAUAUACUCGGCAAUAAGUGAAAGUCUAAAAGGAUUUUGUGGAAUAAACAAUUUGCAAAUUAUUUGCUUGUUUCAUGAAGUAAUAGUUAAGGUAAAAUGUGGUACUUAUUGUUACACAAACACAAUGUGUAAUAACAAAAUGCAUCAGUAAUGACAUUUAUUAAAAUUACUUAAAUUUACAUGACUACUCAGUGCUUUGAGUUUUGUAAUUGUGACGAUUAUAAGUGAAUAUUCUGCAAAAAAUACCUCUAUACGAAAUGUGUAUAUUUCAAUAAUAAUGGUAUACUUGUAUGCAAAGUACUUGAAUAGUUUUGAUGUAUUGCUGAUAAAGAAUUGUGUAAUUGUACUAGUCCUAUUCCAGUUUGUGUAACGUUGACCGUUCAACAUAAGCUGUCAGUGGAGUGAAUUCACUGGGGCCAGUUUCUGUAAAUCUUCAGAUUUAAAACUGCAGCAUACACAUAUGUCUUAAAUCCAGAUUUACAUAACAGUGUGGUUGUUUAUCUUGAAUUUGUAUUGAAUGCAUAAAACAUGUUUGUUCUGUUGUUGAACAACUGAAGAUAGCUUUAAAUGUGUACACUGUGUUUCAUUUUUAGAUAUAUCAAAUUGAUACAUAGAAAACAAAAUACAAAAUGUGCAAUAAUUGGUAUGCAUGUUUAGCCCAAAAAAUGUUAUUAUACAAGCAUAUAAGUAUUGGACUAUAUGAUACUGUAAGAUGAAAUGUUUAAAUCACGUCUUGAUUUGUUCGUCUACUUUAAGUAAACAUUUUUCAUUAGUAGAUAUUGGUUGUAUAAACUCUAUUGAAACUGCCCCCAAUGCAUUUUAAUUGCUUUUGUAAAUAUAUUCAAUAUGUAACAUUAUUGUUAAUGGUAUGUUUAUAGUUAAAGUGUAAGUGUUUCUCUAAACUGUAACCGGGUGUCUGUUUAAUUUAUUGAGAUGUGUUUAUAUUGUCCGGCUUAUUAAAUUAAAUAUUGUGCAAAUUGUCGCAUUGUGGUUGUUGUGAUAAAAACAAAGCACUUUCCACUACU